rnacentral:rRNA from 1 species
CAGCGACACCGCGUGUGGGAUGACGGAUCUAGGUUUGUAAACCACUUUCAGGAGGGAAGAAAAUGACGGUACCUCCACAAGAAGCCCCGGCCAACUACGUGCCAGCAGCCGCGGUAAUACGUAGGGGGCGAGCGUUGUCCGGAUUUAUUGGGCGUAAAGAGCUCGUAGGCGGUUCAACAAGUCGGUCGUAAAAGUUCAGGGCUCAACCCUGAAAUGUCGAUCGAUACUGUUGUGACUAGGAUACGGUAGAGGUGAGUGGAAUUCCGAGUGUAGCGGUGAAAUGCGUAGAUAUUCGGAGGAACACCAAUUGCGAAGGCAGCUCACUGGGCCGCUAUCGACGCUGAGGAGCGAAAGCUAGGGGAGCAAACAGGAUUAGAUACCCUGGUAGUCCUAGCUGUAAACGAUGGAUACUAGACGUAGGAACUGGAUUGACGGUUUCUGUGUCGUAGCUAACGCGUUAAGUAUCCCGCCUGGGGAGUACGGUCGCAAGACUAAAACUCAAAUGAAUUGACGGG